rnacentral:rRNA from 1 species
GACGAACGCUGGCGGCGUGCUUAACACAUGCGAGUCGAACGAUGAACCGGUUUCGGCCGGGGAUUAGUGGCGAACGGGUGAGUAACACGUGGGCAAUCUGCCCUGCACUCUGGGAUAAGCCCGGGAAACUGGGUCUAAUACCGGAUACGACACUCCGAGGCAUCUUGGGGUGUGGAAAGUUCCGGCGGUGCAGGAUGAGCCCGCGGCCUAUCAGCUUGUUGGUGGGGUAAUGGCCUACCAAGGCGACGACGGGUAGCCGGCCUGAGAGGGUGACCGGCCACACUGGGACUGAGACACGGCCCAGACUCCUACGGGAGGCAGCAGUGGGGAAUAUUGCACAAUGGGCGAAAGCCUGAUGCAGCGACGCCGCGUGAGGGAUGACGGCCUUCGGGUUGUAAACCUCUUUCAGCAGGGAAGAAGCGAAAGUGACGGUACCUGCAGAAGAAGCACCGGCUAACUACGUG